rnacentral:rRNA from 1 species
UACGAGAGGGACGAGUGUUAUUCGUCAUGACUGGGCGUAAAGGGGCAUGUAGAUGAUUAUCUCAGCUGAAAAAUUAAAUGCUGUGUUUUUACAUAGAAAAAUUCCAUGAACUGGAUAAUUUGAGUUUGCUCAGGAUUUAAAGAAUUUUUUUUAUAGGGCUAGAAUCCGCUUAUUUUUGGAAAAAAAAGAAAAAUGCCGAUUUUGGUGAAGACAUUAAUCUGGAGUGCACUGACAUUGAGGUGCGAAAGCGUGGGUAGCGAAUAGG